UGAUUGCUUCAGCAGCACAUAUACUAAAAUUGGAACGAUAUACAGAAGAUUAGCAUGGCCCCUCAGCAGG
rnacentral:snRNA from 1 species